rnacentral:ncRNA from 1 species
UUAUCGUUUAUUUGAUAGUUAGUAUGUACCUUACUAUAUGGAUAACCGUGGUGAUUCUAGAGCUAAUACAUGCCAAAAAUCCCGACUUCGGAAGGGAUGUAUUUAUUAGAUUAAAAACCAAUGCCCUUCUGCUACAGCUCGGGGGCUGCAAUCAGUACAGCUCUGGAAGGCUGCAAACAGGUACGACACCACAGCGGUAUUCGCGCCGUGGGCGGCACUCCUGGACCAGCUGUUACGGUCUGCAGAAGUAGGUGAUAAAAGCGUUGAUUGUUCCAAGUGCCAGAGGCACUUGGAGGUGCUGUCUAAAUACAUGUCAACACCCUGGCUUGUCAUCCCUGUUGGUGGGUCAGCCAGAUCUGACCCACUGGCAGUCAAAUACUGUAACACCUUCGGGGAUCUCUGGUGAUUCAUGAUAACUUCUCGAAUCGCACGGCCUUGCGCCGGCGAUGGUUCAUUCAAUUAA